UUUCCGUAGGUGAACCUGCGGAAGGAUCAUUAACGAAAAGUAAUCCGGGGGGGAGGCCACGGAGCGAAGUUUGGUAGAUCGUAGGGAUUGUCGCUGGCCUUUGGAAACGAAGGCAUGUGCGCGUUCCGAGUUCUCCUUAGUCCUCCUUUGCCUUUCCUUAGGAAGACCCUUUCUUCACACCCGUGCACACAUUGUAGGUCUCCGCGAGGGGAUCUAUAUCUUCACAAAUCUCUACGUAUGUCCAGGAAUGUAUCUAAAGCGUCGAACGGCUCGGCUCCAUGCCCGGUCGCCGACGGUAAAGAACCAUAAUACAACUUUCAGCAACGGAUCUCUUGGCUCUC
rnacentral:misc_RNA from 1 species